AAUUCACAUUUUGGAAUAGAUCAAGAAAGUCUCCAUUGGUGGAGAUAACAUACUAGAUAGGCCUAUUUGGAAACCAUCCAAUGAUGGUAAAUUCUCUUGUAAAAUUGCUUUUCAUGCAUUGAGACAAACUGGAAUCUCUUCCAUGUCCUCACAAAGAAUAUGGUAUAAAAAACUCCCCUUUAAGGUAUCCUUCUUCAUGAUGAGGCUUUUGAGAUGGAGAUUACCAACUGAUGAAGUGAUAAGAAGGUUCGGCAUUCAAGGACCUUCUAAAUGCUAUUGUUGUAGAGAUGCACAAGAAGACUAUAUUGCUCACAUCUUUUUCUCAAGCUGGAAAGCUCAAUAUGUAUGGUAAUAUUUCAGUCAGAGCGUAGGUAUUACUAUCUCAGGCAACUUAAAACAGACUUUGAUUAAAUGGUGGUUCAUUAAGCCUUUGAAUGAGGCGAGAAACAUUUCAGUCGGAGCGUAGGUAUUACUAUCUCAAGCAACUUAAAAUAGACUUUGAUGAAAUGGUGGUUCAUUAAGCCUUUGAAUGAGGCGCACAGUUUUGUUCUCCAAUGUGUUCCUUCAAUUAU
rnacentral:lncRNA from 1 species